CCUACGGGCGGCAGCAGUGAGGAAUAUUGGUCAAUGGACGAGAGUCUGAACCAGCGAAGUCGCGUGAAGGAUGACUGCCCUCUGGGUUGUAAACUUCUUUUAUAUGGGAAUAAAAUGUUCCACGUGUGGGAUUUUGUAUGUACCAUAUGAAUAUGGAUCGGCUAACUCCGUGCCAGCAGCCGCGGUAAUACGGAGGAGCCGAGCGUUAGCCGGAUUUAUUGGGUGUAAAGGGAGCGUAGGUGGAUUGUUAAGUCAGUUGUGAAAGUUUGCGGCUCAACCGUAAAAUUGCAGUUGAAACUGGCAGUCUUGAGUACAGUAGAGGUGGGCGGAAUUCGUGGUGUAGCGGUGAAAUGCUUAGAUAUCACGAAGAACUCCGAUUGCGAAGGCAGUUCACUGGACUGCAACUGACGCUGAGGCUCGAAAGUGUGGGUAUCAAACAGGAUUAGAUACCCUUGUAGUC
rnacentral:rRNA from 1 species